GAGAUUAUAAGGCAGAUUUAAGCGAGACAUAAUUGACCGGUGGGGCGAAAACGAAUAAGAUACACAUGUCAAAUUAGUUUGAGUUGAUAGGCACCAUAAGCAAAACCAGUAUCCGCAUACAUGUGAGUGUUCACUUUGUGCAAGGUGUGGGCUAACAUGCAGAUCGGAACCCUCAACUUUCUGAAUUACAUUCAGAGAGUGAACAUACAUGUAGACUGGAGUCUUUACCUGAUACGGAUCUAACUCGAGUCCCGGCAUUAGAAGAAAAUUACUAUGCCUAUGAAAUAUCUAAUUCUACCAUUUCUUCCGGAUCAUCAGCUCCUAAAUGGCCAAGUGCAUCAGCUUGAUAUUUCCUUGUUCACAAAUUACUUCAUAAAAAAUGCACAUACAUAAGAAUUUGAUCUUUGAAUUGUCUCUGUAAGGUAUCACUGCUUCUUAAUGAAGAUAGCCAGCAAGAUAAUGGGGGGAAUAAACAGAUCAUUUCAAAAGGAGAAGCAACCUACCAAGGGCUAACAAUGCAACACUCUGAAUGAGCAAAUUCAUGUUAAAACUUAAAUCCUACUACAUUACAAUCUACCUGGACCAAGAAUACAAAUUAGUCUAGCUAAAGUCUUUUUAAACCUUAUUAAUGUUUCCCCUGAUUGAGCGUACUCCUUGUGAAAAAAACUGCAUAAGAAAUUAUUCACUGGAAAUAUUAGUUUUAGUACUGUAUAUUAUGUACAGAUGGACAUCUACACACAAACAGGACAUGAGUAAAUCCUAACUACACCACCAGUGGUGCAUAUUAAUAAACUGGAUAUCAAGAAAGCUAAAAGGAUUAUCAAGAACACCGUAUAACAAUCAGAGGAAUUCCAAAUUAAGCUAUUACUUAUUUAAGAAGGGACUAAGCUGGAAAGAGGAAAGAAAAUACAGCAAUGAAAAUUCAAGCUUAUCUUCAACACUGAUGAAAAAAAAAUACAACUAGACUAUCUUGCAUACUGUCAAGCUAACAGUAUAUGAGUUCGCACAAUCCUCACCUCUAACAUUGAAGGAAGGUGAAGCAUGAUGUAUGAGGGCUCAUCAAAGUAGGAUUCAUCCUCUUCAUGUCUACUCAGCAGUGACCUUGGCUUGGAAUACUUCCUCAUUGAUAAAAUUGUUGAUGCCCAUAAGCUCUAAUGUGGUUUCCAAAAAGAAAUACCCGCUCCAGACACUACUGUCAGCAAUGAACCAUGCGUUUAGUCGAUGCGAGAGUAAAUCCCUAAAAUGUCGAGCAUUGUUGGUCCAAAGGUUAUAUCACCGAUAAUCAGGCACACUUGAAGAGAAGCCCACUUAAUAUUUAGAGGGAUAAUAUGAACAGAAAUCAAACAAAGCAUUGUAUUUGUUCCCUGAUCAUGAUGCUUCAUAAAGCAUUGGGAACCCAACCAAACAUGUGCCUGCUCUUGAAACCAAGAAUGCACAAAAGAUAUUCGGAAUUAAGCACCUUUUUUUCUAUAACAUGGCAUAUAGUGCUAAAGAACGUUGAUUUGCAUUUGGUUAAGUAUGAAAUACAACACAAUUUUCGCAUCGGUUCAAGAAUGUAUAUACUUCUAAAAUACAUGAAUAAAAGCAAUUUCCUUCUAUAACAAGGGUCCUUUGGUUUGAAGUAGAGAAGCAUAUGAAUUUUAUGCUAGUGCCUGUGAGGAUAGGCGAUGGGCUUGCAGGCGCAAGGCAAGGAUCCAAAUACCUUGGAGUAUUGUGCUGAUAGCUGGGUCGCCGAGAUAGAUGCCCUGCUCUGGCCACAUACUACUAUCCCUGCCAGGAUCUGGGCGACCACAGGCCACAGUAAGCUAGAUAGCAAGAGAGGUGGCAGGCUGACUGGACGAAAAUACACAUUUACAUUGCAGUUGAUAAUCACUGAAAGCCGCAAUGCUGAUAUAGUUUUUUCGGUUUUUGUGAUUUGUGUGAGUGCACUAUUUGCUAAUCUUUCUUUCUGUUUAUCAGUUCACCACAAUGUUGAUAUAGUUUUUUUUUGUUCUAAUUUACACAAAAUUUAGCUGCUUGAAUAGGUGAAGAAUUCUUGUAAAAAAAGGCAACAUACUUGCAUUCCAAAUUAAGAAAAACCAAGAAAUGAACAGUUGCUCAAGCUAAGCUCCGAAUCGGAACUCCAUGGAGUUUUCUUCAAGCAGAAGUGGCUAUUCUUAUGCGGUUUUUAGCCCUUCCUAUGAAUCCCUAAUAAAUGUUUGAAAACCAUUCAAUGGAAACAACCAGAAGGUACAAACACUGACCGUACCAAAGAAAAACUGGGAUCAGGUGCACCUCGGCAAGAAGUUUUUUAUUCUCUGUUUUAUACAUAGAAAUCAAAGACAAAAGUACUAUUCUUGGAACAAAACUAAUGAAAAACCUGGCUGCGAAAUCAAAUAUUUACAUCCCAUUAAUUAUGCUAUCUAAUCUAAGAAGGAUAAUCUAAUCUAAAUAUAUGUUUGUAAUUAAUUACAUAGUUAUAAAAAAACAUGACACCAACAGAACAGACCCAUAUGAUUCUUAAAGAAUAACCCAGAAGACACCAACGCAUGCCAGACAAAGGGAUGAACACAUAAGAAUAAUAGAUAAAUAAACACAUGACAAGCAAGAGUAAAUAGAGCAAGAUAUGGGUUAACUUGGGAACCAAGCAGCAAGAGCAGCGUCCAGCAGGCUCCAGAGAUGCUCGGAGACCCAAAGUCAUCAACAAACUGGAAGAAGAAAUCAAAUAGAAGGUUGAAAAAAAUAGUGUAUAUAUAGCAGAUGUUGAUCUAGUAGUAGUUGCUAUGUUGAUAUUCUUCUGUUUACUCUCGCUUAGCUGAAUACUGGUCCAGGGACUACUUAACAAAAAUCUUGUAAGGGGAUAUACUACUUACAUGCCACCCAUCCAUUACACAUAAGCCUAAUUGAAAAGCCAAAUAUAACCUAGACCAACUAAACGCGCAGAAGCAACACAUUUCAGAAAUAUUGCAUCGAUUCUCAUUUUUCACCAUAGAUAAUAGAUCUCAAACUUCAUCAUGCUUUGGGGCCUCUGAUGACCCACUCAAUAUGUCUACAUUUAGUUAUAUACUCCAUAAAUCAUUUAGCUAACUCAAAUUAUUCUGUAAUAGAAAAGAAAAUGAAAAAAAGAACUGAACUUGAACCUACCAGGCCGAUAACUUUCUUGUCUGACAUUUUAAAAUCCCCCAUCUAUGUUGCGAAUCAUAGCCGAAACAAUUCUGGCUUGUUUAAAUCACCCUGCGUAUAUAAGAAACAACCAUGAUAUUCUUUUUCAAAUACAAAACCAUUAGCAGAUGACACAAAUAAAUAAUAGUGGGGAUUAUUAUAGCACCUUCCGUGUUGUAUAUGUUGUAACAAACUAACAAUCCCACUCCUAGCUGUGGACAGCUGCGCCCAUGGCCAACGUCACCUCAAUAUCACUGGUCCGAUGUUGCCCCCUGUCCAGCGAACAUAGGUUCACAAUUUUAUUAAAGUUACUAACAGCAAAAUACUGACAUAUAAAUGAUGCUAACUUAUGGAAGUCAUAGCCCAGCUGACAGGCAAUGAAUCCAAAGAACAACAUCUAAUGGUUUCUUGAGCAACAAAGAGUAAGAAACAAAUUAAUCCAUAUAACGGACCAGCAGCAGCGGACCAUAGAAGCAACUUUUAUGGAUCAAAGAGAAAUACGGAUAAAAUAAGAAACAUGGUAAAAUGCUAAACCGGCAAACAAGAAUUGUGUGCACCUUCUAUCUAAAUUCUUUGAGGGUUCUGACUUUAAGGGACCACCUAGAAGCAUGGUAGUCCCGAUUAAUGUAAUUUAAACCAUGAUGCUGGGUAAUCACAGAGGAUUUAUAUAGGUGUAUUUAUAGCAACAGUAGGGCAAGAUAUUGUGGAAUGGAACUCUCUAAAUUGCUAUUUGACAUGAAACCAAGCAUUGACAUAAAACAUAUAAGGCAUGCUCUCCUAUAACUGAAGCGCAUCCAUCUAGCAAACUAAAACACCCACCAACCAAAUUAGUUUCAGGUCUGCCUCGAGCCUCUCAUCCUUCCCGGCACCAACAGCGUCACAGAGGCAGUAAGUGCUGUCCUCGAGCGUUGUGCACAUGCCCUGCACCAGGUAUGGCGUCAUCCGGUGGGGCGGGUCGCCGACAU
rnacentral:lncRNA from 1 species